GGCCCUCGGCCCCAGAGCGGAAGUGGCCUCCGCGGAGGGACGGAGCGGCGUUGGCCCGCCCAGCUCCCUGGUCGCUGCACCCCAGGAGCCCCGCGCGGGGAGCCCGAGACACCUGGUCUUCAAGGAACUUGAGCUCUUGCCGCUGGAAUUGGCCGUGAUUUUCACGGGUUUGACUGCGUCCCCACUGUGAGCUCAGAAAAGUCGAUAAUCAGGUCUCAGUCAUGGAUACUAGUGCACAUCUUCACCACUUGAUACAUCAGAUUGUUGAGGAUUAAGAAAGGGACUUUCUCCAUUUCCCAGUGACAGAAACCCAACAAUAUCCAUUUGUGAAAGAACUGGAUCUAGAGCUUAGAUCUUGGCGAAUUACCUGUUUUUGACAUGGAUGGAAAGCUACAAGAUAAAACUAGUUCCACAUGCAGUGAGGAACAGCAAUAUGACCUUAAAACGUGGUGGGGCUGACUUGGUACCUGUUGCCUUCAUGGUGGAGCAACUCAGCAGGCCUCUCCAUGGCCUUCUGAUUGG